UAUUAACAUUUGGUUUGUUCAUCAUUGAUGCUUUAUUUACUUUCUUUGUUAACGGAAUGCUAAUAUCACAAAUACUAGCAGUAUUGUGCAAUAGAACGUUUGUUGAAGUGAAGAGAUACGGUCGUCCUGUGGGUAAACCAAAGGAAUCUAAAAUGAGUUUAAUUACAGCAGUGUGUGGGCGUGGUCCAAUGUGGCUUUGGUGCCUACCUUUUACUAAAGCAAGAAUACCUGAUCCUAUCCCUCCCUCUGAUAUUGCUCUUAAUCAAUUCGUUGUUUAAUUUAUGAGUUAAUAAUUU